rnacentral:rRNA from 1 species
GGCUCCAGGAUGAACGCUAGCUACAGGCGUUUAACACAUGCAAGUCGAGGGGAAACGAUAUUGGAAGCUUGCUUCUGAUAGGCGUCGACCGGCGCACGGGUGAGUAACGCUGGGUAACCUGCCCUGUACAGGGGGACAACAGUUUGGAAACGACUGCUAAUACCGCAUAAGCGCACAGCAUCGCAUGAUGCAGUGUGAAAAACUCCGGUGGUGUAAGAUGGACCCGCGUUGGAUUAGCUAGUUGGUGAGGUAACGGCCCACCAAGGCGACGAUCCAUAGCCGACCUGAGAGGGUGACCGGCCACAUUGGGACUGAGACACGGCCCAAACUCCUACGGGAGGCAGCAGUGGGGAAUAUUGCACAAUGGGCGAAAGCCUGAUGCAGCGACGCCGCGUGAGCGAAGAAGUAUUUCGGUAUGUAAAGCUCUAUCAGCAGGGAAGAUAAUGACGGUACCUGACUAAGAAGCACCGGCUAAAUACGUG